rnacentral:rRNA from 1 species
GAUGAACGCUAGCGGGAGGCCUAAUACAUGCAAGUCGAGCGGUAGAGUGACUUCGGUUGCUUGAGAGCGGCGAACGGGUGAGUAACGCGUACACAAUCUACCUUUAAGAGGGGAAUAGCCCUGGGAAACUGGGAUUAAUGCCCCAUGGCAUCACGAGACGGCAUCGUUUUGUGAUUAAAGCUGAGGUGCUUAGAGAUGAGUGUGCGUCUGAUUAGCUAGUUGGUGCGGUAACGGCGCACCAAGGCGACAAUCAGUAGGGGGCGUGAGAGCGUGGACCCCCACGCGGGUACUGAGACACGGACCCGACUCCUACGGGAGGCAGCAGUAAGGAAUAUUGGUCAAUGGAGGAAACUCUGAACCAGCCAUCCCGCGUGCAGGAAGAAUGCCCUAUGGGUUGUAAACUGCUUUUAUCUGGGAAGAAAAGUCGGCAUUUAUGCUGAUCUGACGGUACCAGAGGAAUAAGCACCGGCUAACUCCGUGCCAGCAGCCG